UGCCCAGGAAUGGGAAUCGAACCCACAGUGUUCCGCUUACCAGGCAGAUGCCAUGCCCACUUGGCUACGCUGGAC
rnacentral:tRNA from 1 species